UUGAAUUGAAAAUGAAUUGGGCCGGGCGU
rnacentral:piRNA from 1 species